rnacentral:rRNA from 1 species
CCUACGGGUGGCAGCAGUGGGGAAUAUUGGGCAAUGGAGGAAACUCUGACCCAGCAAAGCAGCGUGAAUGAUGAAGGUCCUCGGAGUGUAAAGUUCUUUUCUAAGGGAAGAAGAAAGUGACGGUACCUUAGUAAUAAGCCUCCGCUAACUAAGUGCCAGCAGCCGCUGUAAUACGUAGGAGGCGAGCGUUAUCCGGAAUGACUGGGUGUAAAGGGUGCGUAGGUGGUUUGGCAAGUUAGUAGCGUAACUCUAAGGCUCAACCUUGGAACUACUACUAAAACUGUUGGACUUGAGUGCAGGGGGGGUAACCGGAAUUCCUGGUGUAGCGGUGGAAUGCGUAGAUAUUAGGAGGAACACCGGUGGCGAAGGCGGGUUGCUAGACUGUAACUGACACUGAGGCACGAAAGCGUGGGGAGCAAACAGGAUUAGAUACCCCAGUAGUC